rnacentral:rRNA from 1 species
GAAGUUAUAGGUCUUCUUAUAGCUGCUGCCGGUGGACCAUUAAACUCUUGUUAUUUUAUGUAAUCUGAGCGUCUUAUUUUAAUAAGUCAAAACUUUCAACAACGGAUCUCUUGGUUCUGGCAUCGAUGAAGAACGCAGCGAAAUGCGAUAAGUAAUGUGAAUUGCAGACGUCAGUGAAUCAUCGAAUCUUUGAACGCACAUUGCGCCCAUUAAUUCUAGUGCAGCUGGCCGCGUCAUCCACCCUUAAGCCUAGCUUAGUGUUGGGAAUCUACUUCUCUUAGGAGUUGUAGUUCCUGAAAUACAACGGCGGAUUUGUAGUAUCCUCUGAGCGUAGUAAUUUUUUUCUCGCUUUUGUUAGGUGCUAUAACUCCCAGCCGCUAAACCCCCAAUUUUUUGUGGUUGACCUCGGAUCAGGUAGGAAUACCCGCUGAACUUAAAUAUCAAUAAGCGGAGGAAAAGAAACCAACAGGGAUUGCCUUAGUAACGGCGAGUGAAGCGGCAACAGCUCAAAUUUGAAAUCUGGCCCUUGGGUCCGAAUUGUAAUUUGUAGAGGAUGAUUUUGGUGCGGUAUCUUCCGAGUUCCUUGGAACAGGACGCCUUAGAGGGUGAGAGCCCCCGUACGGUUGAAUGCCUAGCUCUGUAAAUCUCCCUUCGACGAUCGAGUAGAUUGGGAAUGCUGCUCUAAAUGGGAGGUAAAUUUCUUCUAAAGAUAAAUAU